AAGAGGAGUGCUGGAGGCGGCGCGGCUGGUGGAGGCGCGGCUGAUAUCGACGAGGGGCUGCGGCAACAGAGGAACUCUGUUUCUGCAACCGUUGCAACGAGGGGCUGCGGCAACAGGCGGCUGCGGCUGCGACCCAAGGGGGGGGCACGGCUAGGGUUGCGGUGGAGAGGCCGCGGUGGUGGUGCGGCUGGGAGCAGCGUCACCAACGAUCGCCGAGGAGAAGAGUCGAGCGGCUGCGCUGCGACGCAAGGGGAGGCGGGCGGCGGCAGUAGGGCUGGGAUGGACGCUGGCAGCGUCGUCUCCUGGCCGGGGAACAGCGGCGGUGGUGGUCGCCGGCCGGGAAGCGGGGCGAUGGUGGGCGCUGGCCGGAGAGCAGCGACGGCCGGCGGGUGGGCUGGCCGGACGCAGGGGAAGCAGGGGUGCGUGGCUGCGGUUGCUGCUUCUUCUUCUCUCUUUCUUUCUUUCUUUCUUUGUAUUUUUUUUUUUUU
rnacentral:lncRNA from 1 species